AGCGAACGCUGGCGGCAGGCUUAACACAUGCAAGUCGAGCGGGCACUUUCGGGUGUCAGCGGCGGACGGGUGAGUAACGCGUGGGAACGUGCCCUCUGGUUCGGAAUAACUCAGGGAAACUUGAGCUAAUACCGGAUACGCCCUUUUGGGGAAAGGCUUGCUGCCGGAGGAUCGGCCCGCGUCUGAUUAGCUAGUUGGUGAGGUAACGGCUCACCAAGGCGACGAUCAGUAGCUGGUCUGAGAGGAUGAUCAGCCACACUGGGACUGAGACACGGCCCAGACUCCUACGGGAGGCUGCAGUGGGGAAUAUUGGACAAUGGGCGCAAGCCUGAUCCAGCCAUGCCGCGUGAGUGAUGAAGGCCUUAGGGUUGUAAAGCUCUUUUAUCCGGGACGAUAAUGACGGUACCGGAGGAAUAAGCCCCGGCUAACUUCGUG
rnacentral:rRNA from 1 species